UACGGAGGGUGCAAGCGUUAUCCGGAUUUACUGGGUUUAAAGGGUGUGUAGGCGGACUUUUAAGUCAGCGGUGAAAUCUCCGGGCUCAACCCGGAAACUGCCAUUGAUACUAUUGGUCUUGAAUGUUGUUGAGGUGGGCGGAACGGGUCAUGUAGCGGUGAAAUGCGUUGAUAUCAUUAGGAACACCGGUGGCGAAAGCGGCUCACUGGGACUCUUCUGACGCUGAGGCACGAAAGCUAGGGUAGCGAACGGG
rnacentral:rRNA from 1 species